CUGUGACAUAUAAAAUAAAAAAAAAAAAAAAAUCGAAUUAAAAAAUACAUGUAUAUGCAGUGAUGAUGAAAAUGACCUCAUAGAUUAAAUCACGUAAUAAAAUGUAUGAAAUUCCAUACGAUAAGCUAUCUUACGGGUUUUUCGGUGUGUGUGCAUCGAUUAGCAUAUCGAUAAAUAAGAAUCAAUAUAGAUACGAUUAUAAAAGUGAUAGUUGUGGUAGGAACAAAGAUAUAAGAAUAAGGGCCAGUCACAAACUAGUCGAGGGCAUCGACUGCGAUCUAAGGUCAGAUGCAAUUUCUCUAGCCACGUGAUCAUUUCAUAUGAUAUCGCUAGCUGCGAUUGUUAAAUCUCAU
rnacentral:lncRNA from 1 species